CAAUAGCGUAUAUUAAAGUUGUUGCAGUUAAAAAGCUCGUAGUUGGAUUUGUGGCGUACGGUGUGUUCCGGGCACUUGUUGUCUGAGUAACCUGCUGUUGCCAUCCUUGGGUGGAACCUGUGUGGCAUUAGGUUGUCGUGCAGGGGAUGCCCAUCAUUUACUGUGAAAAAAUUAGAGUGUUCAAAGCAGGCUUAUGCCGUUGAAUAUAUUAGCAUGGAAUAAUGAGAUAGGACUUUUUUGCUAUUUUGUUGGUUUGCGCAAGAAGGUAAUGAUUAAUAGGGACAGUUGGGGGUAUCCGUAUUCCAUUGUCAGAGGUGAAAUUCUUGGAUUUUUGGAAGACGAACUACUGCGAAAGCAUUUACCAAGGAUGUUUUCAUUAA
rnacentral:rRNA from 1 species